rnacentral:rRNA from 1 species
GCUUGCGGCCAUACCACCCUCAGCACGCCUGAUCUCAUCUGAUCUCAGAAACUAAGCAGGGUAGGGCCUGGUUAUUAUUUGGAUAGGAGACCGCCUGGAAAUAGCAGGUGCUGUAAGCC